UGGGUUUCAUGGCUGUGGAUAUGGGACU
rnacentral:piRNA from 1 species